UAUGAAUGAGUUAAUUUAUUUUUAUCCAUUUUCCCGAAAAUUUAAAAAUACAAUACUGUUUUGUUCAUACUUUAUAAAUUGUCGAAAAAGCUGUUUUAUUGUACUUCAGGAGCGAGGAUUCGAUCAAUUUUUUUUCUCUGGAUCUAGAUCUAACUUGAAACAUAAUAUCGGAUUAAUGGACCACAACAAUAGAACCAUAUUAUGCCAUAAAAUUUAAAUAGGAUUUACCUUUAAAAAUUUUGAUAACGUCAUCAAAUUGUUGGUGGGGAUCGUCAGAAAAAUUUUGGUUGACAUACACCUAAAAUUCCAAUCAGAAAUUAUGUGUUUAAUAGAACCACGAACAGCUGACAAACAGACGGAAACGGGACACCCAGUUUUUUGUACUCUUAGAGCACUUGUUCUGCUUGUAAUAAUCUAGAUCGUUUAAUUUUUGUAAAACAAAAAAUUAUUUCAAUUUUAAUUUAGAUGAUGAAAAAAUGUUUGUUAUGUACUUUAAAAUAUAAUAAUACAUAUUACACAUUGUCCUUACCUGCAUCUAUAUUUUUAGUACAGCUAAUUGAAAAAAAUAUGUCUGAUGAGAAAACAACAUUAAUAAGAAAACGCGAAAGUGAUAAAAAGGCAAGAAAAUAUGCCACGAAAUUCACUCUUAUUUCCAUUUAAACACAGUAAAAAAACGUCAUGCAGCUUUAAGGACAGAUUUUUACAAGUUAAAUUUAUUAAUUUUAAUAUACAUAUGUACAAUGUAACACUAAUCUUCAGUCUUAGCUGUGCUUUCUUGCUCGAUUUUACAGAAACUAAAUAAAUCGAGACAAAAUCAGUAUCGUAUACUUACUGGAAUGUACUUUUUUAAUAAAUAUUUAUUUAUUUAUUUACAUAUUUUUAAUUUGGCGCUAUCGCUUUUAUGGGGACAGAUGAUAGUAGAUAGUGCAACAUUAAGGAUCAAAGUACUUUUUGAUAAAUUUCAGAUAAGAAAAACAGCAAACUUCCAUUUUCAUUGUCUCUAAAAAAAAUGGAAUUCCUUAAAAUUUUAGCAUGACUAUACUGUUUGUAACUUAUUUAUUACUAACGCACGCUUUUUCAAUUGUUUUUAUUUUAACAUUUUUCCACAUAGCGCUUUCCUUGUUGCUUAAACUUGUCAAGUUUGUACUAUAAUUAUAGUGGUUAACAUGACAAUGAUAAGGGGAAAAAUAACUAGUACAAAUAUUUAGUGCUAAAUGCCGUCUUAUUCUGAAGCGUCUUAAUUGUGUUGUACGUGGCUCAAACCAAAAAGUAGCUGUCAAAAAUUGACUAGAGGGUAUAACUUUCAGCGAAUUUUAGACAAUUAUACUACAAGUAAUUAAAAUUAGUAUUACAAAUAUACAAUGAGUGGCUAUAGUAUGCAACCAGUAAUACAUGGAGGUGUUCACAUUCCGAACCUUGAUGAGCGUAGUCCAUAUUUUAUUGUCAGUUCUGCUAGUGGUAAGAAUGUGGUCGAUGAGCCCUGACGAGUACAAAUUGAUGACUACGUGUUGAUAAGCAUACCCGUGAUACGCUUAAGUAACACAACCAAAACGGGAAAGUAUAUUUUAUACUGAAUGUCUGACGUCACACCGACAAAUAAUCACACAUCAGGUUACUAAUAGACAUUCAAUGUCAAAGCUUUAAGAACCCGAACAAUGUAUUAGAAUGACACAUUGUGUUUGUAUUUAGUGGUGAUUUUGGAUAUCGGUGUGAUGUCAUCCACACGUUUGUUUUAUUUUAAGUUCCACUCUUCUAUAUUUAACUAUUUUAACUAGGUUAUUGGAAUAAAAAGUCAGAUAUAAAACAACAGUUUAUUAUAUAAAAUUGACAAAUCGUCAAAUGAAAACAUUUUUGCGUUAAUUCAUCUAGAAAUGAUAUGAAUAUUUUUGGUAUAAAAUAAAUCCUCGUAAAAAAACCUACUCAUCUAAAAUCAACAAAAUUUAUUGUCAACUUCAUUCAUGUAAAAAUAAGACGAUAACAAAAAUAAAAUCAAGACAAAUAACUUAGAAAAACUACAUCGACUCUCACAGGAUGCUCUCCUGCACACCUUAAUUAAAAUGAUUACUUUGGUAUGUGUAAGUAACUAAUAUCACAUUCAUAAACCUCUUCAGCAAAAAAAGCAUAACGUUAUAAUUCAAUUAAAUCGAUUUAUGAGUAUCUUUUGAUUGAUAAGCAAUGCGACCUAUUGAAUGAAAAAAGGGGGUGCUGAGAUGGUUGAUCUGCUAGAUAUAUAGUAGAAGUACUCUAAAUUGAGCUUGAAAACGAGAAUAUCAAAACUAUCUAAGCACGAAUCUAGAUGAGGUUGAACCAUCGAUAGAAAAAUCUUAAGGCCUCGGGGUGGAUAUACAGGUAUUUCGGAAACCUUCAAGACUUCGAGGGGCUAGAAAAUCGCGCUUAAAAAUGGGGACUGAGGGCUCAAAAGUACCCGAUUAGUGGUGUCACGUUGUGGUCGUACCACUAGCUGUCAAGUGGUCUUACGGUAUCUAGGGUUCUACAUUUCCAAAAUACACAGGGUGGUCAGCGGUGAGAUAUUUUCUAAAACAUUGAUAUAAAAACAGGACUGGCACAAACUUUUCUUAUAAAAAUAUUUCCAUAUGUACAGGUGUCCUUACUAUGACACAUCAAAAAAAGAAAUGACAUUUCAUUAGGAACACCCGUAUAUAUGAAAUAUUUUUAAAUGUUGAGGCCUUCAGUGUGGAAAAGAUUGGCUUUUUUGUUCGUAUUUUUAGCUCACCCUGUAUUGUAAUCUUUAAAUCACUAAGGUACCUUACUUAUUUCAAAAUGUAAACCCAUAAAUAAAUUUAUAAAUCUUGUUUUAAGAUUUUACAGAAAAUAUAUAUGAAUCAAAACGAUAAUUGGAUUUGUUCCUCUACUGAGUACUGUAGCUUAAGGUUUGAGUACCGGUUUUCGUCCGUGUCCAAACCUCUACUACUGAAGUAACCAAAUAGUAAUUAGUUCUUUGGCAACUAGUCAGAACUACCCAAUACGAUGAGUAUUGACUACGUCAUCUUUGACCUGGCAACCGCUACCAGUCAAAAUUGAUAUCAAUGUACCUUCCUAGACAAUAAAAAACCGAUAAACAUU